AUGGGCGUGCAGCAAAAAAAAGAGCGUCGAGGCUCAUGUCAUAGCGGAGGCGAGAGCGGGGCACGAGGAGCAAGGCGAGAAGCAGCACAACGGAGGUGCUGCCGGGCACUAGUGGUGGUGGAGCAGGGCUCCACGCGAACAGGGCCGUGGUGGAGGUCGCCAUCGGGCGCGCAAGCACGAGGAGCAGGGGCGCCCUUGGGUCGUGCAGAAGAGGAGGCCGGAGCAAGGCAAGGAGGGCGAUGGGGACGUCACAGAGUUGAGGCGCGGGGCGGAGAUGAUGGAGCAAAGGAACCGGCGAAGCAGCAUAGGGAAAACGGGAGCAGAGGAGCGUCCGGGCCAGCGGCAGGGAGCUACGUGGCGGCGCCAUGGCCUGAGGCAAUGGUGCUGGCCACGGGGAGGUCCGGCGGCGCGUGGGAAGAGCAGCUGCAGUAG
rnacentral:rRNA from 1 species